rnacentral:rRNA from 1 species
UACGUAGGGGGCAAGCGUUGUCCGGAAUCAUUGGGCGUAAAGCGCGCGUAGGCGGCCCGGUCAGUCCGUUGUGAAAGUCAAAGGCUCAACCUUUGAAUGCCGACGGAUACUGCCGGGCUAGAGUCCGGAAGAGGCGAGUGGAAUUCCUGGUGUAGCGGUGAAAUGCGCAGAUAUCAGGAGGAACACCUAUUGCGAAGGCAGCUCGCUGGGACGUAACUGACGCUGAGACGCGAAAGCGUGGGGAGCAAACAGG